AAGUCGUAACAAGGUUUCCGUAGGUAUGUGAAUAUCGUCUCGAAUCCUUUAAUCUUGAUUUAUGCUAACUAUUUUCUAGGUGAACCUGCGGAAGGAUCAUUAAAACAAAUUGUCUUUUAUGAUUAUUUCAACCACUUGUGAACCAAAAAAACAUACGCUUCGGUAGCAAGCUUGUUGCCCUUCACUGGGUUUCAAGCUGUCAGCCUGCCGGCAGCACUUCAAACCAAACUUGUUUUAAAACAUUGUCUGAACAAAACCAUUUUCGAAUGAAAAUUAAAACUUUCAACAACGGAUCUCUUGGUUCUC
rnacentral:misc_RNA from 1 species